GAUUCAGGUCUGUCUUCAGGUGCUGCAGCAGGAAUAGCUGUUGGUGUCUUACUGCUUGUGGCGGCUGUUGUGAUUUUUUGCUGCAAGCGUCAAAUAAGAAGAAAAGGAUGCAGGGAUGCAGCAUAAUGAUCAUGCAAAUGGUGUUAAAGAAUUGUGCCCUAAUCAGAACGAGAUUUCACUCGUGGAUGAUGCCAACGAGACGUCCUAUAAUCAGACUGAGUAGAGGAUACUGACAAACACAACUAAUGGGUUGUCCCCUAAUCAUACUGAGAUUGAGCCUGAAGCUGCCAGUGAGACCUCAGUGUAACUUUGUUUUUUCUUCAAAAUGUAAUUGUUGUGUUUUUUGCCUUUUAUUAUGAGAGGACAGCAAGUAGAUGGGAAGCAAAGUGGGAGAGAGGACAGGGUCAGGAAAGGUCUGCUAGCUAGGACUCAAAUUUGGGUCACCUGAAGUUCAGUAGUUCUAUAUUUCAACACACUACCCAUGAGCCUAUUGGUGCAGACACCAUGCAACAUUACUAAUUAUUUUAAAGUCUUAAUUGAAAUGGAAAAUAAGAAUAUGGAAAAUUUGAAUCCUCAAAUUUGUCAACCCUAACCAAUACCAAAAACAAAAAUUAGGUGAAUUACUUGCCCAGAUAGCAUCAAGAAUCAGCAUAUGAAUCUCAACAAUGGUGACAUGCUUCAUGCCGCAAUGCAUGCUGGGAGCCACCAUAGUAUACAACUCAUGACUCCCUGCAUGCAUUGCAGCAUGAAGCAUGUCACCAUUGUUGAGAUUCAUAUGCUGAUUCUUGAUGUCUGUGUGUGUCAAAUGUUUUUAAAAAUUUGCACUUUAAAAGUCAAUAUUCAGAAUGUCUGAUCUGUAGCAAGAAAACGUUGGUGAAUGUUACCCAUUAAAAAUGUAUUAAAAUAUUAUGUAGGCAUUAAAUCAAUUUAAUGUGUUUUACUAACAGCAAUGUGUUUUAUUAAUUUAUGGCACUGUUAACUCAUUAAACUUUAAAAGAUGAUAAUUUAGUGGAUGAUUUAAAAAAAAUUGUUAAUCAUAGGUAGCGUAUUCAAAUCAUAACGGUCGCCUGAGGGCGCUCAAAGACCAUGUAAUCUGUGAGCGUGAGAGUUUCUAACAACUUUAUUAAAAAGGAUAAAUACAUGAAAUUAUGUACACUUGUUAAUGUGUUUAUUUUUGUUUGCAGUAUUUUAUAGUAUUAAAUGAUUAUGAACACAUUAAGCAUGACAAAAAAAAUUAUACAAUCGAUUAAACUACAAAGCUGGCACAGAGGCAUGUAUGAUUACAAAAUUAAGUAAUUAUGAU